CCACAAAUGAAGAGCUAGUGAAGAGCGCAGACACAAUAGUCAAAGAUGAACUGUUCUAAAUAGAAAGACCUAGCACUGAGCAUUGAAGACAGCUACGAAGACAAUCUGAGAAGAUGUGGCAGUUUAUACAUGUGCUGUUGUUUCUGACAGAGCAAUAACUUUUGACCUGGAUUAAGUCUAGACUUACAACAAAGACGGAAGAAAUGAAUCCCACGAUUAAAGGUGAACCAGAAGGCACUGAAGAUGAUCCAUACGGUGAUACUACUGCAUAUACCUGUGUUGCUCGUACCUGUCCCAAAACUGAAUUCUUGACUUUUAUGGUGGAAGGACUAUCAACAGACUACCACUGAAUGUCUUAACAUCCAAGAGAAAGGACAAGCCACAGGUGCACAACUGAGCUCAGCCCAGAAUAUCAGAAGGCUUCCAGAAAAUACUAGCAAAGAAGCUGUGUGAUUUAAAUGAAAAUUCAAGAGCCCAACAGUCAAGAACUUGGGAUGGGAUGUUAAGACUAUUUCAUUUUUAUGAAAAAUGUGUUAUCAAGUGGACCUGCCAUGAAAGUGUGCAGUUCUGAAACUCUCUAAAAAGAUGCAGUAGCCACAACACAUAUGCAAAUAGGAGCAGAUACCAAGCUCAAAAGUAGCCUCCAUAUGCUUGUCAAAACCAAGAUUUCAAUUCCAUAGAUUCAGAGAUUAAACUUGUGAAUGGAGAUGUUCAUAAAGACUUUAAUAUAUUAUUUUCUAAAGAUGACAAAAGACUGGGUUCUCUUGCACAGAUGCAUGUAAAUAUGGCACAGAUACCUUUUGGUUUUAUCCCAAUAAAAUGCUGUAUCCAUGUAGGACAAAGAAAAUUCUAAAAUGACUGAUAAAAGGGAAAGAGAUUGGAGUGGUAUCUUUACUCUCUCCAAAUCCUUAAACUAUUUCCACUAAUUGAUAUGCGGCUAUCUAGCAGAUUUCUGUGAUUCCACAUUCAUAGCUCUGUCUUUCCCAGAGGAUUAAAAUCAAGUAAUCAGGCCAACAGAUGAAGAACAUUUCCAGUUUGAGUGAAGAAUUUGAUCUUACUGCUGAGGCAAGAGGCCUGGGCUCAGGAAGAGAACAAAGGGCUUGUUGUCCUUGGACAGGGCUAUCAGAACUGGGAAUCACAUAUGGUAAACUCAAGAUGGGGCAACCAGAAUCUCUCUGGCCCUUUCUUGCUCAGUCUUUUUGAAAUUUUGCUAAGAGAGGAAAAGGUGAAGAAUAUGCAUUUUCUUCCCCAGUGUAACAAACUUAUUUGACACUAAAUUGCGACUAUGGAUGCCAUGGAGCAAAAUAUUGCACAUUUUGUAUUCUCACUCAUUGCAAAGAGAACCCACAUAUGGAUGACCUCCUCCGGUUUGAAAAAAAAAAAGGGAAUUAGCUAUAGAAUCCUUUAAGAGUGUUGAUAUCAUCUUGUUAUCCUUAACUGCUAGCAUGUUCUCUCAUGCCAAAAUGCAAGUUGUAGAUAUUGCCCUGUUAUGAAUGUACCAAUUACACAAAAGUGAUGCAUGACUUGUUGUCACACCUCAGGGGGCUGGGAUCUCCAUCUGU